rnacentral:rRNA from 1 species
GCCGCACCAGUCGAGAAAACUUUGCAAUACACGAAAGUGUGACAGGGCUAUCCCGAGUGCCGUCCGCUGAGGAUGGCUUUUACCCAGUUUAGAAAGCUGGGGGAAUAAGGAGAGGGCAAGUCUGGUGUCAGCCGCCGCGGUAAUACCAGCUCUCCGAGUGGUGUGGAUGUUUAUUGGGCCUAAAGCAUCCGUAGCUGGCUGUUCAAGUCCCCUGUUAAAUCCACCGAUUUAAUCGUUGGUUUGCGGGGGAUACUGUUCGGCUAGGGGGCGGGAGAGGCAGACGGUAUUUUCGGGGUAGGGGUGAAAUCCUAUAAUCCCGGGAAGACCACCAGUGGCGAAGGCUGUCUGCUAGAACGCGCCCGACGGUGAGGGAUGAAAGCUGGGGGAGCGAACCGGAUUAGAUACCCGUGUAGUCC